AACGAACGCUGGCGGCGUGGCUAAGGCAUGCAAGUCGAGCGGAUCUAGCUUGAGGGCAACUGAUGGCUAGGUUAGCGGCGGACGGGUGAGGAAUACGUGGACAACGUACCCCAGACACAGGGAUAGCGGCGGGGGCAACCCCUUUGCGAAAGUGCCGGUAAUACCUGAUGACCCCGCGGGAUCGCAUGGUCCUGCGGGCAAAGCUCCGACGGUCUGGGAACGGUUCACGUCCUANCAGCUAGUUGGCGGGGUAACGGCCCACCAAGGCGGCGACGGGUAGCGGGCGUGAGAGCGUGGCCCGCCACAUCGGGACUGAGACACGGCCCGGACACCUACGGGUGGCUGCAGCAACGAAUAUUCCGCAAUGGACGCAAGUCUGACGGAGCGACGCCGCGUGCAGGAAGAAGUCCCUCGGGAUGU
rnacentral:rRNA from 1 species